AGCUGCUUGUCAGAAGACUUGGGACUCUGUUUGUACUUCAGAACAUCAGAAAUCAGAUAACAUCCAAACUCCAGAUGAAAAAUGUGUUUCUGAUAAAAGCGAGAAAACUUUAGAACAGAAUGUUUCUUCUGAAUCUGAUGACGAGACAAAGUGUCACAGUACAGCUGGACAUCAUUGCAUGGGACAGGGUGACACAGAGUCAGAAGACAGUGAUGUCAUCUUUCCUACACAGGAUCCCACUCAGAGAGUCCCUAAGAACCCUAUAUGCUGUAAGCUGCUGUUAGGUGAAUCUGAAGAUUCUGAAACAGAAGACCCUGUGAAAGUAAAUCAUGACGAUGGCAGACAGAACAGUGGCAGAGGAAAUGGACCAGUUUCAAAUUUCUUGUAUCUUGAGAACAUGACCUUGAAAUCUGUUAGGAAAAGAAAAGGUACAGAUGAUAUUAGCGAUGAGUCUGAUGACAUUGACAUGUUCCCUAAGUCAAGAAUAAGAAAGCAAAGAGCCACUGCUUCCUUGAAACUUAAGAGUAAAA
rnacentral:lncRNA from 1 species